rnacentral:tRNA from 1 species
GAGGGUAUAGCUCAGUGGUAGAGCAUGUGCUUGGCAUGCACGAGGGCCAGGGUUCUAUCCCCAGUGCCUCCA